GCAAUUCAAACCCGACCUUCUUCCUCUCCCCUACGCACCCACCCACCCCAACUACCGAACCCUAUCGCAGGAACCAACUCUCUGUGCCACGGUGGCCGGAUCCAUAACCCCCGCCCGAGAGACCUCCUGCUCGCCUGCUGGCCGCUGAUGGAUCCGGGCAGGGAGCCGCCCCCCAGUGCGCCAAACGCGGUGGAUCCGGGCCGCCAGCCGCCCCAAGCGUGCUUGCAAGGUUGCAAGACACCUACACGGCCAUGCGCUCCGACCAUACCACUCUUCAUCGCCGGCCACGGACAGGUGCCGCCACGCCGCCCCAAAAUCGGCCGACCACCGUCAGGCCGCCCUCUGUCAUCCCAGCGACGGCUGGCUACUCCCACCGCCCUUGUCCCUCCCAUCUUUGGAUCUAGGGCCCCAUCACUGGUUUCACCCCCAUGGUGACGUGGAUUCGGUCGUCCCAUAACGGAUCUGGCCAUGGGGCUCUCCUUCGGUGACCACGGCGAUCUCCGACCGUUUUUUCGCGCCCUGGCUAGCAAGCGACCGUGGUGAAGUUCUCAAUGCGAAGAAGCCGAGGGAGGAGGAGCCAGUCCACCCAAAUAACACUGCGCGCCUGCAUCUAGCCGAAGCGACCGAGAAAUCAAUGGAAUCGGACCUGCUAGAGGCGACGGUGGCGCUGCCCACACACGUUGCUUAAUGAGGCGCAAAAGACGGGUUGUGACUCCUCGGACUGGAACGAGGAAGGGGACACCAGCGGCGAGCUCCGCAUCCAUGCCCAAGAGCGCGCCAUCUUGGAGCAACCUCUCGACUAUGUUUCCCAUGUUGAGCAAGGCAGCAGGCGGACUACAUCCUCCAUAGCGUGGCAAAGCUUCAUGGUCUAUCGUUGGUUAUGCUGUCGUUUGCAGUUCACGAGAGGUACACAAGAGGUGCUCUCAUGAGGGGCAGCUGACGCCGCAACCAUGCAGUCCAUCGCGCCCGCACUGCACUGUUGACUUUUUUUGUUUUUGUUUUUUUUUGUUUUUUUGUAGGGCGGUUGAUCACAGCGUGUAGUGCACUUACUAAGAAGGAGAAUAUAACAUAUCAAAGUUCAUUUUCUUGUUUGAGAAAAUUAUAGACAGGAAAUGGGAAUAAAAAAUGAAUGUGGAUGUGGAUGAAUGCUUGUGUAUAAUGUGUAAUGUGCAAAUAAAAAUUGCAGUCCGCUCGCCUCA